rnacentral:rRNA from 1 species
GCGGCGUGCCUAAUACAUGCAAGUAGAACGCUGAAGAGAGGAGCUUGCUCUUCUUGGAUGAGUUGCGAACGGGUGAGUAACGCGUAGGUAACCUGCCUUGUAGCGGGGGAUAACUAUUGGAAACGAUAGCUAAUACCGCAUAACAAUGGAUGACACAUGUCAUUUAUUUGAAAGGGGCAAUUGCUCCACUACAAGAUGGACCUGCGUUGUAUUAGCUAGUAGGUGAGGUAACGGCUCACCUAGGCGACGAUACAUAGCCGACCUGAGAGGGUGAUCGGCCACACUGGGACUGAGACACGGCCCAGACUCCUACGGGAGGCAGCAGUAGGGAAUCUUCGGCAAUGGGGGCAACCCUGACCGAGCAACGCCGCGUGAGUGAAGAAGGUUUUCGGAUCGUAAAGCUCUGUUGUAAGUCAAGAACGAGUGUGAGAGUGGAAAGUUCACACUGUGACGGUAGCUUACCAGAAAGGGACGGCUAACUACGUGCCAGCAGCCGCGGUAAUACGUAGGCCCCGAGCGUUGUCCGGAUUUAUUGGGCGUAAAGCGAGCGCAGGCGGUUUGAUAAGUCUGAAGUUAAAGGCUGUGGCUCAACCAUAGUUCGCUUUGGAAACUGUCAAACUUGAGUGCAGAAGGGGAGAGUGGAAUUCCAUGUGUAGCGGUGAAAUGCGUAGAUAUAUGGAGGAACACCGGUGGCGAAAGCGGCUCUCUGGUCUGUAACUGACGCUGAGGCUCGAAAGCGUGGGGAGCGAACAGGAUUAGAUACCCUGGUAGUCCACGCCGUAAACGAUGAGUGCUAGGUGUUGGAUCCUUUCCGGGAUUCAGUGCCGCAGCUAACGCAUUAAGCACUCCGCCUGGGGAGUACGACCGCAAGGUUGAAACUCAAAGGAAUUGACGGGGGCCCGCACAAGCGGUGGAGCAUGUGGUUUAAUUCGAAGCAACGCGAAGAACCUUACCAGGUCUUGACAUCCCGAUGCUAUUUCUAGAGAUAGAAAGUUACUUCGGUACAUCGGUGACAGGUGGUGCAUGGUUGUCGUCAGCUCGUGUCGUGAGAUGUUGGGUUAAGUCCCGCAACGAGCGCAACCCCUAUUGUUAGUUGCCAUCAUUCAGUUGGGCACUCUAGCGAGACUGCCGGUAAUAAACCGGAGGAAGGUGGGGAUGACGUCAAAUCAUCAUGCCCCUUAUGACCUGGGCUACACACGUGCUACAAUGGUUGGUACAACGAGUUGCGAGUCGGUGACGGCAAGCUAAUCUCUUAAAGCCAAUCUCAGUUCGGAUUGUAGGCUGCAACUCGCCUACAUGAAGUCGGAAUCGCUAGUAAUCGCGGAUCAGCACGCCGCGGUGAAUACGUUCCCGGGCCUUGUACACACCGCCCGUCACACCACGAGAGUUUGUAACACCCGAAGUCGGUGAGGUAACCUUUAGGAGCCAGCCGCCUAAGGUGGGAUAGAUGAUUGGGGUGAAGU